AGAGACAGCAGUCGCCGCGGGAAUACGUAGGGCGCAAGCGUUAUCCGGAAUUAUUGGGCGUAAAGAGCUCGUAGGCGGUUUGUCGCGUCUGCCGUGAAAGUCCGGGGCUCAACCCCGGAUCUGCGGUGGGUACGGGCAGACUAGAGUGAUGUAGGGGAGACUGGAAUUCCUGGUGUAGCGGUGAAAUGCGCAGAUAUCAGGAGGAACACCGAUGGCGAAGGCAGGUCUCUGGGCAUUAACUGACGCUGAGGAGCGAAAGCAUGGGGAGCGAACAGGAUUAGAUACCCGGGUAGUCCCUGUCUCUUAUAC
rnacentral:rRNA from 1 species